GUCCGCUGCUUUGUCUCCACAAGCACAAAAGACAUCCAGAAGCAGGGAAAAAUGACUCCAUGGAGUUGGACCUCUCUACUUGUUAUGAGCUGGCUAUUUUUCCCCAUCAGAAGAUACUCCCUAAAUCUUUUAGACCAGAACUAAAACAUGCAUUUUAAGCAUUUCCCAGUGAGCUGAAAAGCAUUGAUUUUAGGUUUUUUUCAAGAGCCUUCAUUCCAGAAUGUUACUUCCAAAGCAAUGUAAGGAUGAGUCUAGCCUAGGCUAACUGCACUUGCAGCUGCAUUUUAUAUACAGUAGGCUUUAGAUUAACCUUAUUUAUGCUACUGAGGCUACUAUUAAAAAUUUGUUGUAUAACAACAUUGACUGAUCUUAAUGUUUAUAAUUAUGAAAGAUGUGCAGUGGUAUUUUCUGAUUUGUUUAUAUUUCUAAGAAGCUGUGCCUUUUACACUGUUAAAUGAAAGUCACCCCUAUUACUCUGGCCUACUACACUUAAAAUAGUAGUGAAAGCCAUGGUGUAUUAAAAAUACAUGUAUCAAUCCUCAUUAGCUCCUUUCUGAUUAUGACACCAUGCAGAAGCAGGAUUGUUACACUGAACAGAUAACCUAAUCUGAACCACACCCUGGUAUUUGGGGUUUUAUCUUCACUUAAGGGUUCCUUCCCUGUUUCAGCUGAGAUGUUUUACUGUGGAGAGUAUAAAAAGACAAGAGAAUUACAUGCUCAGUCCCCCUGCAAGCUGCACCCCAGGUUUGUAACAGCCACCUUCAGCUGUCAUCAGAGACUUCACCCUGGAAAAAAACAGCCACAUAAAAACAUAUAGUCAUCACUUAAAAAACAGCAGCACUCCCAACAUAGGAUGAAAAGAGAGCAGCGUAAAAUUACGGCUUGGACAUAGUUGGAUGGAGCAAUGCCAGGCAGGGGUUUGGGCUCCAGAUCUGCACAGUAUCUUCGAGACCAAGCACAGCUGUGCCACCCCUGGGAGAGCAAGGUCUGCAUCAUCUGCAAGAGGGCUUGCGUGGACAUGCUACGGCUCCUGGAGCUUGCUAGGAAUGUGGAGCUCUGUGGAGGUGCUUCUCUGAAAGACACGGCACCUGCUGUCAUCACAGUGUAUUCCUGCCUUCAAAUAAGAUUGCUUUCCAGAAGGAAAAUCAAGCCAUGUGCAUUAAGCAGCUAAAUGCCUGUAUGAAUAUUCAGACUCCCCAGGGUAUCUGAAGUGAAGUUACAGCAAGAAAAAGAAUAUCUACAGCAUUUCAGUGGCAAUAUCCAGGACAUCAGCUUUAAACAAGAUUGAGUUGGAUAUUCCAGUAGUAAAAAACACCCCAGAUAUAUGUUAGAUGAGUGGCCACUACAAGAAGUGGCAUAUAGGGUGAUAAUCUCUAUGACACUCGCCCUGGGUGCGUAUUAUCACCAGUGCAUUUCUGAUAGUGGUGUGUAAUAUCUUGAAAGUCAUUUGGUGCUCCAAAUUCAAUUAGAGAGGUAUUUUACAACAGAUUACAUUUUUGUAGGCUGGAGUGUUGUAAACUUUUAUUCCACCAUAAAACAUUUUAAAAUAAAGUAAACAGGUCUCAGAAGGCUCA
ensembl:lncRNA